AUUCAGGCUGGGAAUGCUAUGUGGGUGCUUUAUGGGCUGCCAGGAGCAUACCACUUGUCAGGUAGCUCGUUAGGUCACCUCCCCUAUCUCUACCUUGGAUCCAGGAUUCCCAAAGGAAUCACUGCUUAGUCCAUCCUAUUCACUGGAAAUUUUACUGAUGAGGACUGUUUUUUUCAAGGAGUUGCCAACUAUAUUUGGGUGGUGGUGAAUUUUUUAUUUUCUCCCAGGUUCAGUGGAAACUUUUUCCUCUUUGUCUAUUCCCCAGUUUCUGGCAAAAAGGAAUCUUUCAUGAAGCUCAGGAGUUCUCCAGUCUGAAAGAUAUUCAUGGUCCUUGAGAGUGCAGACAUACCCUGGCAUAGAGGCUCUCUUGAGGUCCAGAAGAGCAUGUAAAGUUCAGCUGUUCCCUGGUGUCCAAUUCAAGAAUCCCCAGAAUAAGGCUGUUUGAUUAAAGCCUGAGCUUUUAACUUCAGUAAGACACGUAGGCUUGAGGGAGGAUGUGUUAUUGAAUGCCUGGAUCUGAGAGAGAACAAGUAUUACAUCCUCACUCAGUCAACACAACCCCAAGAGGAAUCUGUCACAGAGAGACAGAUUGACCAGCAGUACAGACUGCAUCAAGGGCAGCCUGCCUCUUUUACCUCAUGCAAAACUUCUUGGGAGCAUGAUGAGAGCAUCCUCAGGGCUCAGGCUGACUCCCGGAGAAGAAGGAGUUAA
rnacentral:lncRNA from 1 species